UUCACUUGAAUCAAGCUACUCCCAGCUUCUGCACACAUCUGGUCCAACACUACUUUGGGAUAUGUUUUGCUAAGGUUGCUGUUCUGCCUGGAAGGCCCUCAUUCCUCAGCUGCAUGACCCGAGGUUUCCUUCCUCUAAGACCUUGCUAGCGGCUCCUAGAUGCCUUCCAAACCAAAUUCUCUUCUAUGAGAUCAGCUCUUAGCUUUGUAUUCCCUGGCACUUAUGGAGUAUGUUAUGGAGAAAGACUGUCUAGUUGAAGGAAAACAAGCUCUGGGCUCCCACUGAUUCUACGUUAUGAGGAAUUUCUCAAGAUUUUAUCUUUACUGAUUGAUUUCUAAGGGAUGCUACUUGCUUCUAACAUCAUGUUAAUCAGCAAUGUAAGCUCUGGCAUAGCUUACCAACCCUAAGAGUGGCAGGGAGUUGCUCUGUGUAAUGGUGGAGUACUCAGCUGUCUUCUCCAUGGUGGUUGAGUUCUCUGGAUGGGAUCAGCUUUCUUCACAUGUCACUGAAGUGAAAGGGGACAAUUGAAACCUAUUUUGACAGGUUUAAAAGCUAAAGCCAAGCCAGGAAGAGGAAGACAAGAUGAGAAACCCCAAAUCAAGGUAAGAGAAGAAAAUAAGUGCAACAUGCCAGAAAUCCAGUAAAGCAGUUCAAGUAUCAGAAGAGCGUGAAUCAAAACCAAGUGCAAGAAGAGGCACCUUGACAUUGAACUGAAGGCCACCAGGUACUCACUGGGUCAAUGACUCUUCUCAUUUUUAUUCUCCUGCCAGUGCUUCCAAUCGCUGAACUGAACUGGGAACAAAUCAACAAGGGAAACCAAGAGAUGCAUUCCUUGAAGUUCAGCCUCCAGGCCUCAAGUAAGGCAGAGGAAGAGAAUACAUAGAUCUGUGGAGAAGAGUGGUGAUGGUGGGAGCUGCCAAUAAAGAACUAUCAAAAAAGGAUGAUGCAACAGAAAAGCCGUCACCAGAUACCAGCACCUUAAUGUUGGACUUCUCAGCCUCCAGAACUGUAAGAAAUAAAUCCCUGUUCUUUAUAAAUUACCCAGUCUCAGGUAUCCUGCUAUAGCAGCACAAAAUGGACUAUGAUAGAAAAUUGGUAUGAAGGAGUAGUACCAUUGUUAUAACAAAUACCUAAAAAUGGAAGCCACUCUGGAACUGGGUAAGGGGUAGAGUAUGGAAGAAUUUAGAGGAGCAGGCUAGAAAAAGCCUAAAUUGCUGUGUAUUACUCCAGGAUGGUAAGAAAUAAAUCUCUGUUCUUUAUAAAUUGCCCAGACUCACAGCACAAAACAAAUUAAGACAUUAAGAUUUGCCCCAUUCUUAGAAUUCAUUUCUUCCAUUUUCCCUUUAAUUAAAUCAAUGCCAGCAUCUAAGCAGUGUGCACCUUUUGACCAUAGUCUUUCUAAUUGACCAGAAGCUUAGAUGUGGAAAAUGCAAAAACUAUGCACAUUUCUGAUGGGUUUAACUUCUGAGAAAUUUUUACAAGGUUUUCCUUAUUUUAUCUGCUCCAGUAAACCUGUGGUUUCAUGAACAGGCCUAGAAUUUGAGAUUCAGCUUCUAAACUUCAAAGGUGACCUUUCAACCCAUUUGUUUAUAGACUCGGUAUUAACCUUUUGAGUUCUAGAAUAGGGUUUUAGAACUUACUUUCAUAAAAGUUUAUAUAGUCAAUUCCAUUCAUUUAUGCUAAGGACAUAGAAUAUUUCUAGAUUGCACAAUAUGUUUCUGUGGGAAUUGAAUGGAAAUCCAGGUUUCCUGACAAGAAACAAAGGAUCUUUGGGAGGCCGAGACAGGCGGAUCACGAGGUCAGGAGAUCGAGACCAUCCUGGCUAACACGGUGA
rnacentral:lncRNA from 1 species